rnacentral:rRNA from 1 species
UACGAAGGGGGCUAGCGUUGCUCGGAAUCAUUGGGCGUAAAGCGCACGUAGGCGGCUUUGCAAGUCGGACGUGAAAUCCCUCAGCUCAACUGAGGACGUGCAUCCGAAACUGCAAGGCUUGAGUACUGAAGAGGAUCGGGAAUUCCCGGUGUAGAGGUGAAAUUCGUAGAUAUCGGGAGGAACACCAGUGGCGAAGGCGGCGAUCUGGGCAGAUACUGACGCUGAGGUGCGAAAGCGUGGGGAGCAAACAGG